rnacentral:rRNA from 1 species
GGAAUAUUGGACAAUGGGCGAAAGCCUGAUCCAGCAAUGCCGCGUGAGUGAUGAAGGCCUUAGGUUUGUAAAGCUCUUUUACCAGGGAUGAUAAUGACAGUACCUGGAGAAUAAGCUACGGCUAACUCCGUGCCAGCAGCCGCGGUCAUACGGAGGGAGCUAGCGUUGUUCGGAAAUACUGGGCGUAAAGCGCACGUAGGCGGCGCAGCAAGUCAGGGGUGAAAUCCCGGGGCUCAACCCCGGAACUGCCUCUGAAACUGCAGUGCUAGAAUCUUGGAGAGGCGAGUGGAAUUCCGAGUGUAGAGGUGAAAUUCGUAGAUAUUCGGAAGAACACCAGUGGCGAAGGCGACUCGCUGGACAAGUAUUGACGCUGAGGUGCGAAAGCGUGGGGAGCAAAC